GGGCCAGACUCCUACGGGGGCAGCAGUGGGGAAUAUUGCACAAUGGGGGAAACCCUGAUGCAGCAACGCCGCGUGGGUGAAGGAGCGUUUCGGCGCGUAAAGCCCUGUCAGCGGGGAAGAAGAAAGACGGUACCCGACCAAGAAGCCCCGGCUAACUACGUGCCAGCAGCCGCGGUAAUACGUAGGGGGCGAGCGUUAUCCGGAAUUACUGGGUGUAAAGGGAGCGUAGACGGCGAGGUAAGCCUGAAGUGGAAGCCCGCGGCCCAACCGCGGAACUGCUUUGGGAACUGUUUUGCUGGAGUAUGGGAGGGGUAAGCGGAAUUCCUGGUGUAGCGGUGAAAUGCGUAGAUAUUAGGAGGAACACCAGUGGCGAAGGCGGCCUACUGGACGGUGACUGACGCUGAGGCUCGAAAGCGUGGGGAGCAAACAGGAUUAGAUACCCCAGUA
rnacentral:rRNA from 1 species